rnacentral:rRNA from 1 species
UGAGCGAUUUACUUCGGUAAAGAGCGGCGGACGGGUGAGUAACGCGUGGGUAACCUACCCUGUACACACGGAUAACAUACCGAAAGGUAUGCUAAUACGGGAUAAUAUAUUUGAGAGGCAUCUCUUAGAUAUCAAAGGUGAGCCAGUACAGGAUGGACCCGCGUCUGAUUAGCUAGUUGGUAAGGUAACGGCUUACCAAGGCGACGAUCAGUAGCCGACCUGAGAGGGUGAUCGGCCACAUUGGAACUGAGACAC